CUAAUAUCGUCCGAGUAAAACAGAAACGGAAGACGAGUUCCGUCGAAACUCCUCCUCAGGUCGUUGAGGCUCGUCUACACUUGAAAAUGUUCAGCAAAGUCUAAUCCUGCUCCUGGAGGGCCACACUCCAGCAGAGUUUUGCUCCAGCCCCAAUUAAACACACCUGAACCAGCUAACGAAGGUCUUCAGGAUCACUACAAACUUGUGUUGCAAUUCUCCUCUCCAAGCCCUCCAGGAGAAGGACUGGACACCCCUGGUAUAUGGGAUUGUUCUUGUAAAACAGCAUGUUGCUUUGGAUAAAUGACUAAUAAUUACAGAUUGUGGAUCUUGUCAGCUCUACUUACAGACUUCAGGUCGUCAUCAGCCUGGAUACCUGAGGAGCAAGACCGUACAGGAGACGAAGAGGGCGAGGAGGGGUCAGACAACUG